CUCUGCUGGAGUUUUGUAAGAGAGCCCAGGAUAUGGGCCUCCUCCUACAAACAAGUUCCUUCCUCAAGUAUAGGAAUACAAGAAAGCAGAAGGAGAGGUGCUCCAGCCCUCUGAGUAUCUUCACAGCCCUUCUCUGGACCUGCUCCAAUAGCUCUGCAUCCUUCUUGUGCUGGAGGCCUAGGCCUGUAUGCAGUGCUCUGAACAAAAGGUACUCUAAAAUACUUUCUGGUGAAUCUCUGCAUUCUGGAGUGCUGACUG